UACGAAGGGUGCAAACGUUGCUCGGAAUUAUUGGGCGUAAAGCGCACGUAGGCGGCUUGGCAAGUCGGAUGUGAAAUCCCUCGGCUCAACUGAGGAACUGCACGGGAUACUGGAAGACUUGAGUUCGGGAGAGGGAAGCGGAAUUCCGGGUGUAGCGGUGAAAUGCGUAGAUAUCCGGAGGAACACCGGUGGCGAAGGCGGCUUCCUGGACCGAUUACUGACGCUGAGGCGCGAAAGCUAGGGGAGCAAACGGG
rnacentral:rRNA from 1 species